GGAACAGCGGACUUCUACAGACU
rnacentral:piRNA from 1 species